GUCUUCGUGGAGCAAUGCAACUCACUCCCCUCCUGUUCGAAGACACGAAUGCCAAGUAAUGGGAGGGGAGGUGGUUCGAAUCCACCCGAAGACC